rnacentral:rRNA from 1 species
GCCAGAGCCAUUUCACCCUGCAGCUCUUGCCUGGUAUCCCACUGAAGGUAAGCAGGAUUGAGCCUGGACAGUAUCUGGAUGGGAGACCUCCUGGGGAAAACUAAGGUUGCUGCUGGAA